CGGCGACGCCGCGCAGCUCCACCACGCCGCGACCCCCAGCUCCACCGCUCCCUCCAUCCCUGCCUGUCGAUUUGUUCCCUAAAAUACUCACAUUUCCCUAUCCCUGCCCGCGAUGAGGCCGAAUGUGUACCACUCCAGCAUCCCCGGCGCGGCGUCCAGCCAGAGGAAGAGGCAGUCGUGGGCGGCGCGGAAGACGCCGUCUGCCUCCACCAGCGCCUCGAUGUAGAUGUUGGAGCCGCCGGCAAAAUUUCAAAUUGGGGAGAGCAAAAUCUCACCUUUCCUUUUCCGGCGGAUAUGAAGGCGGAUCUCUCCUCUUCAUAGGAAUUGCCUGCUGUUGCUAUUGAUGUGUUGCUGCUGCUUCUUCAAUUCGUGGCGCUGCUGCUUCUUCAAUUCGUGGCGCUGCUGCUUCAAUUGCCAACUCUUCUUGCCGUACUGCUGGUGCUUCAAAUCAACAGAGGAGGCGAUGACAACAUUUAGUCCUGAUUUUCUGCCAGGAACAAGUGAGCCAUUUAUUUUUGACUAAUACAGUAUCCAUUUUAUUUCUUCAGAAGCUAGCUCAUUCUCAAAAAUAAAGGAACAUAGGCAAAGCAAUAGACAGUAGCUAGCAUAUGAUUUGGUUACAGUAAGGAUCUUCUGAACAUUUGGUUAGCUCUGUCUAUAUCUCUGAACAUACGAGCAAUGUGCAUUUUUAGUACCAGCAAUGCACAUUGAUGAUUCCAGAAAAUAAGUUUAUAACCACUCUAGAUUUACAAGUGUUUACUGAAGAAUAUUCUGUUUAUGAAGUAGACCAGCAAUAUUCAUCUUUUUUCUGUUUAUGAAGAAGAAGAAGAAUAAACCUAGCUAAUUCAAAUAUUCCAAUUUUAGGGACAUGUUUUUAAUUCAAUUGGACAAGCAUGGAAUACUUUGAAUUUUGACCCUGACAAUGAAUUUCGAUUGUAAUCCAAUUAAACUCUCUGUAUCAAUUAAACUCUUUGUAUAACCUGUUAAUUUUGAUUGCAAUCAAGCUUUCGCAGGAACAAAUGAACAAUUUACUCUAAUGUGAUCAAGAUUUCGCAGGAACAGAGGCGGAGUACCAGAGGCGUCGGGGUCGGGGGCGGCCAACAGCAGCAGCAGAGGCAAUCAGCAGUCGAGGUGCUCGAGGGCAGAGGCAAUCAGCAGAAGCAAUCAGCAUUCGAGGGCAGAAGCAAUCACCAGAGGCAAUCAGCAGAAGCAAUCAGCAGAAGCAAUCGGCUGUGGCAUCAGCAGGUUUGUGUGGUCCUCUCUCCGCCGGGGAAGAUCCGCCUUGCCCUGCCUGCCGAAUUCUUCAAGAGGGGAGCGGCGACCGGGGUCGGCAGCGGCGCCUGGGGUUGCCGCGGGGGUGAGGAACCGGCGAGCAGGGCCAGGGACGCGAGCAGGGCCACGAGGAGGAGGCGCCCGUCGAGGUGGUCGCCUUGGAGGAGCAGCCUCGGCUGGGCGGCGGGGCAGCUCACCUCCGUGCGGACGGUCCACGUUCGCAGCGGCGGGGCAGCUCGCCUCCGUGCGGACGGCCCACGUUCGUAGCGGUUGAGCAACCGCAGGUGGGCUACGGCGCAGGUGGGCGUCGGCGGAGGUGGUCGCCCGCUCUUUCUACGGCGGCUGGCGGCGGUGGCUACGGCGGCCGCUUGGUCGAAGGAGGAAGAAGCAGAGGUGGGGGGGGAUUAGCACUAGAUUUAAAACCGAAAGGUUUUUUUUGUAAAAUUUGAAAUGAACUAAGCUCUGGACAACUUUUCCCGAACGGAGGAAGUACUUAUUUUGGAUCGGAGGUGUACAGUGUUUUCUUUCCUACAAACCUAUUGUUGCUGAUACAUUUGAGAAAUUGAUGGAGGCAAGUUUCCAUAAGAACAUA